rnacentral:rRNA from 1 species
GAGUUUGAUCGUGGCUCAGAUUGAACGCUGGCGGCAUGCCUUACACAUGCAAGUCGAACGGCAGCACGGGAGCUUGCUCCUGGUGGGCGAGUGGCGAACGGGUGAGUAAUGCAUCGGAACGUAUCCUGGAGUGGGGGAUAACGUAGCGAAAGUUACGCUAAUACCGCAUAUUCUGUGAGCAGGAAAGCGGGGGACCUUCGGGCCUCGCGCUCUUGGAGCGGCCGAUGUCGGAUUAGCUAGUUGGUGAGGUAAAGGCUCACCAAGGCGACGAUCCGUAGCAGGUCUGAGAGGAUGAUCUGCCACACUGGAACUGAGACACGGUCCAGACUCCUACGGGAGGCAGCAGUGGGGAAUUUUGGGACAAUGGGGGCAACCCUGAUCCAGCCAUGCCGCGUGAGUGAAGAAGGCCUCGGUUG